rnacentral:rRNA from 1 species
AGGGAAAGCUGGCGGUAGGCCUAACACAUGCAAGUCGAACGGCAGCACAGUAAGAGCUUGCUCUUACGGUUGGCGAGUGGCGGACGGGUGAGGAAUACAUCGGAAUCUACUUUUUCUUGGGUGAUAACGUAGGGAAACUUACGCUAAUACCGCAUACGACCUACGGGUGAAAGCAGUGGAUCUUCGGACCUUUCGCGAUUGUAUGAGCCGAUGUCGGAUUAGCUAGUUGGCGUGGUAAAGGCCCACCAAGGCGACGAUCCGUAGCUGGUCUGAGAGGAUGAUCAGCCACACUGGAACUGAGACACGGUCCAGACUCCUACGGGAGGCAGCAGUGGGGAAUAUUGGACAAUGGGCGAAAGCCUGAUCCAGCAAUACCGCGUGAGUGAAGAAGGUCUUCGGGUUGUAAAGCCCUGUUGUUGGGAAAGAAAAAAAGCAGGUUAAUACACCGAUGUUCUGACGGUACCCAAAGAAUAAGCAACGGCUAACUUCGUG